rnacentral:lncRNA from 1 species
GACGUUAGCCAAUAGUCACUCGGGUAGCAGCUAGCUAGCUGCAAGAUCCAGGUGUAAAUGUCCAGAGCCUGCGGUAGAAAUCCGGGGAUAUGGAGAGAAAAUAGGUCCGGUGUGCUCUGGUCUGAGUCGCACUGUACAAAACUGGCGAUAGCUUUUCGAGCAAAGGGAUAGCUGAUGACCGCCAACCGUGGCUAGCUGAACUCCAACGUUAGCCAGUGAACUGGCCAAACUCUGGCUAACCUCUGGCUAGCUUCUGCUGUGGAUUUCAGAUUUGAGCUCUCCCAGCUCCAUGGGACAAACAGGAAGUUCACCUUGCUGCAUGCCCUUGUGGAGCAGAUCAUGUUGCACGAAGCCGGCUUGGCCACUUUUCCCCAAGAGUUGGCGGAAUUCAAAACUGUCCCUGGGGCUUCCAUUAAAGGCCUCACUGCUGAAGUGGAUGUCCUCAAGAAUGAGUUACAGAAGGUCAUUCAGUACAGGAAAACGUACAAGAGAAGAAACCAAGGCGCGCAAUACCCAAAGUUUUCCAAAGACCUGAAGAUGAGCGCAUCAUAGUGUGGCGGUGAAGGGAAUUGCUAUUUGUCAAGUAUACUAUGACGAUUGAGAAGUACAACACAGAUCUCUCCCUGCUGACAAAGAGAUGUGAGGAAAUGAAGAAACUCUAUACUGACAUAUUGGGGGGGGGUCAAAAUCAAAGUAACAGUUGGAAUCUGAAGUGGCCACCAGCUGCAUUAAGUACUGCA